GUGGGAGGGUUAUCUCUCUGAGAUAUUUGUCAUCCCAUUUAUUUCAAUGAUUGAUUUGACUGGUUUUUCUGGUUAAGCAGGUGUCCCUUCCUCCCUCAACGCUUCUCAUGUGUCCCUCUCUAAGAAGCAGACUCUGUCACAAAGGAUGACCUUCCCAAUAGAAGAGGACUGAUUUUGAGUCAAGAAUAUAGGAGUAGCUCCACUCCCCUGCUAGAACCUUUAAACAAGCUCUCAAAUAAAAUCUAUCUCAUUCUAGUCCCUGUAAGGUCUUUACUGGUUUUCAAAUGGCAUGCAUG
rnacentral:sRNA from 1 species